rnacentral:rRNA from 1 species
UACGUAGGGGGCAAGCGUUGUCCGGAAUCAUUGGGCGUAAAGAGCGUGUAGGCGGCUCGAUAAGUCCGUUCUGAAAGUCCAGGGCUCAACCCUGGGAUGCGGAUGGAUACUGUCGGGCUCGAGUCCGGAAGAGGCAAGUGGAAUUCCCGGUGUAGCGGUGAAAUGCGCAGAUAUCGGGAGGAACACCAAUGGCGAAGGCAGCUCGCUGGGACGUUACUGACACUGAGGCGCGAAAGCGUGGGGAGCGAACAGG